GAUUGGUGCUUGCAUCAUGAUUUACAUUUGAGUGAGUGGCGAACUGGUGAGUAACACGUGGGAAACCUGCCCAGAAGCGGGGGAUAACACCUGGAAACAGAUGCUAAUACCGCAUAACAACUUGGACCGCAUGGUCCGAGCUUGAAAGAUGGCUUCGGCUAUCACUUUUGGAUGGUCCCGCGGCGUAUUAGCUAGAUGGUGGGGUAACGGCUCACCAUGGCAAUGAUACGUAGCCGACCUGAGAGGGUAAUCGGCCACAUUGGGACUGAGACACGGCCCAAACUCCUACGGGAGGCAGCAGUAGGGAAUCUUCCACAAUGGACGAAAGUCUGAUGGAGCAACGCCGCGUGAGUGAAGAAGGGUUUCGGCUCGUAAAACUCUGUUGUUAAAGAAGAACAUAUCUGAGAGUAACUGUUCAGGUAUUGACGGUAUUUAACCAGAAAGCCACGGCUAACUACGUGCCAGCAGCCGCGGUAAUACGUAGGUGGCAAGCGUUGUCCGGAUUUAUUGGGCGUAAAGCGAGCGCAGGCGGUUUUUUAAGUCUGAUGUGAAAGCCUUCGGCUCAACCGAAGAAGUGCAUCGGAAACUGGGAAACUUGAGUGCAGAAGAGGACAGUGGAACUCCAUGUGUAGCGGUGAAAUGCGUAGAUAUAUGGAAGAACACCAGUGGCGAAGGCGGCUGUCUGGUCUGUAACUGACGCUGAGGCUCGAAAGUAUGGGUAGCAAACAGGAUUAGAUACCCUGGUAGUCCAUACCGUAAACGAUGAAUGCUAAGUGUUGGAGGGUUUCCGCCCUUCAGUGCUGCAGCUAACGCAUUAAGCAUUCCGCCUGGGGAGUACGGCCGCAAGGCUGAAACUCAAAGGAAUUGACGGGGGCCCGCACAAGCGGUGGAGCAUGUGGUUUAAUUCGAAGCUACGCGAAGAACCUUACCAGGUCUUGACAUACUAUGCAAAUCUAAGAGAUUAGACGUUCCCUUCGGGGACAUGGAUACAGGUGGUGCAUGGUUGUCGUCAGCUCGUGUCGUGAGAUGUUGGGUUAAGUCCCGCAACGAGCGCAACCCUUAUUAUCAGUUGCCAGCAUUAAGUUGGGCACUCUGGUGAGACUGCCGGUGACAAACCGGAGGAAGGUGGGGAUGACGUCAAAUCAUCAUGCCCCUUAUGACCUGGGCUACACACGUGCUACAAUGGAUGGUACAACGAGUUGCGAACUCGCGAGAGUAAGCUAAUCUCUUAAAGCCAUUCUCAGUUCGGAUUGUAGGCUGCAACUCGCCUACAUGAAGUCGGAAUCGCUAGUAAUCGCGGAUCAGCAUGCCGCGGUGAAUACGUUCCCGGGCCUUGUACACACCGCCCGUCACACCAUG
rnacentral:rRNA from 2 species